CGGCCGAGCGGCAUCGGAGCAGGGCUGCGCCGCGUUUCCCGGCCCCGCGCCCCUCUCCAGACGCCGGGAGCGGCCGCGUGCCGGAAAAUGCCGCCGGGGCGGCGGAGCGGGGCCCUGGCUCUGCCCGCCCCUCCUGCCGCCCUCCCUGGAAUGGUUUGAGGCAUUAUGGGUUUAUUGAGAUGUCGUGGAUAUGCUGGCUGUUCUGAUGGAGGGCAGUGAUGGCUUAGAUGGAGAAAUUUGGUUCUCUUUAAAUAAAGACGUGAUUAUCCAAACAUUUCCCUUCAGUGCUGUUGUCCCUGCUGCAUUAGCAGCCAGGAAUAUGCUGUUGCUUCAGUCUGAAAACGGAACAGAUGCAGAAGAAACAGCUAUGUAACAAGGCGAUAUGUGACGCGUGCUGUGAAAUUCAUUAACUUGCCGCUACCUGAUUAUUGCAAGCAAUGAAAAGCUAUCCAGCAGUUUGUCAGUUGAAGCAGAAGACAAUCCUUUGCACCAAUACGUACUCAUGUGCACAUGCCGAUCAGCUGAAGUGUUAAAGCUCAAGCUGAUUCUGUAUCCCUGACUUCCCUU